CCUACGGGGGGCAGCAGUGGGGAAUAUUGGACAAUGGGGGGAACCCUGAUCCAGCCAUGCCGCGUGUGUGAAGAAGGCCCUCGGGUUGUAAAGCACUUUCAGUGAGGAAGAACGCCUGGUGGUUAAUACCCAUCAGGAAAGACAGCACUCACAGAAGAAGCACCGGCUAACUCCGUGCCAGCAGCCGCGGUAAUACGGAGGGUGCGAGCGUUAAUCGGAAUUACUGGGCGUAAAGCGCGCGUAGGUGGCUUGAUAAGCCGGUUGUGAAAGCCCCGGGCUCAACCUGGGAACGGCAUCCGGAACUGUCAAGCUAGAGUGCAGGAGAGGAAGGUAGAAUUCCCGGUGUAGCGGUGAAAUGCGUAGAGAUCGGGAGGAAUACCAGUGGCGAAGGCGGCCUUCUGGACUGAUACUGACACUGAGGUGCGAAAGCGUGGGUAGCAAACAGGAUUAGAUACCCGUGUAGUC
rnacentral:rRNA from 1 species